rnacentral:rRNA from 1 species
UACGCAGGGUGCGAGCGUUAAUCGGAAUUACUGGGCGUAAAGCGUGCGCAGGCGGUUUUGUAAGCCAGAUGUGAAAUCCCCGGGCUUAACCUGGGAAUGGCAUUUGGGACUGCAAGGCUUGAGUGCGGCAGAGGAGACUGGAAUUCCUGGUGUAGCAGUGAAAUGCGUAGAUAUCAGGAGGAACACCGAUGGCGAAGGCAGGUCUCUGGGCUGACACUGACGCUCAUGCACGAAAGCGUGGGGAGCAAACAGG